ensembl:lncRNA
CAUCAAUUGGAUAUCAUAUCAACAGACCAAAAAUAGUCGGAGAGCCUACAGAAACUAUAGAUAGUUAAUGUGACAAUCACAUUAUUAAAAAUAAACUUGGAGCAAUGAUUUACUGAGGAACUAUUUUUUUUGGGAGCAUGCUUUUGCAGGGAGUUCGCCGCCCCACCUGCCCAUAUGGACGGCACGUGCCUGAUUUCAAAGCCUAGAGAAGGCAAACGGAUCAUGUUGGUCAAAGUCAAGUUCAGAGGCAUCCAGAAAUUCAUCAGCAUUUCUGAAGCCAAGAUCAGUGAACUGCUUGAGUGUGCAUUCCAGAAGUUUUGUUUGUCAAGACUGUCAAGACAUCUCCCUCAGCCAAUUGCCUAAUGCAAAGCUCUUUAAUGACUCUAAAACUGAGGUUGACCAGGAGGUGUUUGGAGAAGUGAUUGGUGCAAAUACUGGUGUUUAUGAGCUAUCCAUUGAUGGUGUCUCUGAAGGUUUGUAUUGUCUAAUCAAUGUGAUGUUGUUGUGGUUUUUUCAGGCUGAUAGAGAUGCUAUUGAAUUAUUUUUCCAUGUUGAUAAUUUGGCAGUGAGGACACAGGAUUAUAUUCUGUAUUAAUAAUGUCAAUUAUCUAAAUAGGACAUGGGUAGAACAGAUGACGCAACCUGUAUGUCCUAGGGUUCUCUUUCUCUUUCUCUCUCUCUCUCUUGUUUUUAGGAGACCUUGGAGGUGCUCUUUUACCUGAUUGGAUGAAAAUGGUUGUCUUGACGUAAAAUAUGAACUUUACGUAAAAUAUUGCUAUGCCGGUUUUGUUUCUGAGGCACCAGCUGUUGGCCAGUCGACACCAGCUGUAAGUCAAGAGGACUCUGAUACUGACUCUACUCUCAUUCUGAGCGAUGAAAGUCCCCAGCGGAAACGGUCAAGACCAAAUAGGUCUGAGGCCCAUGCAACUCUACCUGCUCCCUGCAAAGUUCUAUUUUCCCAACACAGUAAUCUGAUGGCAACCGGCAGAAGCUCUUAAUUAAUGCGCAAAAGUCUCCUGGAUCCAUUCACUUCAAGUUUAGUGUCAUGUUCUCAAGUAAGCAUUUAUCAGCAAGUCCUCCAUCCUGCUGUCUUGAGUUUUGCUGAAAAGACGUUUAAGCUAAAUAAAUUCAUGUGUAUGCGGUAGUCAUGUGCGAUGAAGUUGUUUUCCUAGUUGGGUGACGAAACACUUCGCAAGAAACCUGGUGGUGAUAAUGUCAUUAGGGAGUAUGACAGAACAAAAAUGUUGUCAGACAGCACACGGCGGAAAAUGGUGAACAUUCUAGUA